AGCCAUGAUGUGGAUAAGCAUUUAAAAGUUCCUUACACCUCUCCUAGCAUUGAAAUAAGUUUUCAUCCUCAUUUUGUGAAAAAUUUAUUAUGGCACUUCUGACGGU